rnacentral:misc_RNA from 1 species
CGCACCUUGCGCUCUUUGGUAUUCCGAAGAGCAUGCCUGUUUGAGUGUCGUGAAAUUCUCAAUCCUAUUCUUUCUUAACUGAAGGGAUUUGGAUUGGAUUUGGGGAUUGCUGGUUGAUUACAAUCGGCUUCCCUUGAAUGCAUUAGCUGGAGUAUGACUUUGCAGCAUAUAUGCGGUGUGAUAAUGUCUUCACUGUGUAGCUCUAGGUCGUCUGGCUUCAAACCGUCUUCGGACAAUUUUGACAAUCAGACCUCAAAUCAGGUAGGACUACCCGCUGAACUUAA